rnacentral:lncRNA from 1 species
CUUUGGUUUGACUUGAUCUCAAAAGUUGCUUCCAGCCUUGAUGGUUCAAUAAUUCUCUAACUAAUAUGGAUUUUUAGCUAUUUUUUAUGAGAACAAGCUGUAACUUGCCCUUAUCCUUCUAUAAGUCACUCUAGAGGCAAAUUACUUUUUCCCCUUCUCCUUUUCACAGAUCUCCAGGAUGGUUUUUGCCAGGUGGGAUUUUUUGUAUACCAAAGGCUAAUGCUGCGAAAGUGUAGCAGGAUCAGGAUGGUGGUAACAGAGCUGGACACCUCAGUGAUAUAAUUUGCACAGCUUUUAAGACACUUGGAAAUGUUUCAACUAAUUUUAUGGAUCAAAGUAAUUCCAGGUGGAAAAACAGGAAGACAGACAAUCUGAGGAGAGAAUGGAUCAGAGCACAACAGUCACACUCAGGGAGUGCAGUUGUUGCUAUCUCAGGCCAAAAGAAGCAUGUGUAAGUUCAUGGGAGAAGGAGAGCAAAUAUCUUGGAGCUCAAAC